AGUUUGAUCAUGGCUCAGAUUGACGCUGGCGGCAUGCCUUACACAUGCAAGUCGAACGGCAGCACGGGAGCUUGCCCUGGUGGCGAGUGGCGAACGGGUGAGUAAUACAUCGGAACGUACCCUGAAGUGGGGGAUAACGUAGCGAAAGUUACGCUAAUACCGCAUAUUCUGUGAGCAGGAAAGAGGGGGAUCGCAAGACCUCUUGCUUUAGGAGCAGCCGAUGUCGGAUUAGCUAGUUGGUGAGGUAAAGGCUCACCAAGGCGACGAUCCGUAGCGGGUCUGAGAGGAUGAUCCGCCACACUGGGACUGAGACACGGCCCAGACUCCUACGGGAGGCAGCAGUGGGGAAUUUUGGACAAUGGGCGCAAGCCUGAUCCAGCCAUGCCGCGUGAGUGAAGAAGGCCUUCGGGUUGUAAAGCUCUUUCGGUGGGGAAGAAAUUGCUUCGGUUAAUACCUGGAGUAGAUGACGGUACCCGCAUAAGAAGCACCGGCUAACUACGUG
rnacentral:rRNA from 1 species